AGUGAACGCUGGCGGCAGGCCUAACACAUGCAAGUCGAACGGCAGCACAGUAAGCGCUUGUUUUUACGGGUGGCGACUGGCGGGUGGGUGACAAAUACAUCGCCAUCUACUUUUUCUUGGGUAAUUACGUGGGACCGCUUACGCUACUAGCGCAUACUUCGUACGGGUUAGAUCAGGGGAUCUUCGGGCCUUGGCUGUUUCUAUGAGCCGAUGUCGGAUUAGCUAGUUGGCUGGGUAAAGGCCCACCAAGGCGACGAUCCGUAGCUGGCCUGAGAGGAUGAUCGGCCACACUGGAACUGAGACACGGUCCAGACUCCUACGGGAGGCAGCAGUGGGGAAUAUUGGACAAUGGGCGAAAGCCUGAUCCAGCAAUGCCGCGUGGGUGAAGAAGGUCUUCGGAUUGUAAAGCCCUUUUGUUGGGGAAGAAAAGCAGUAGGUUAAUACGUGGAUGUUUUGACGGUACCAAAAGAAUAAGCACCGGCUAACUUCGUG
rnacentral:rRNA from 1 species